AUAUAGCUGAAGUCAUUUCCUUUUAUUAGUCAUUUGUUUUCACGUUUUUAGCAACAAUUAUCAAUUUCUCGACUUUUACAAUCUGUGAAAGCGAAAGUUUUUGUUAUUUCUUUCUUUUGUUAAUUGAUACUUAUCUGAUUCAAUUCUUCAUGUAUGUAAUUUGGUUUUCUUUUGUAGUCUAUGCUCUAGCUUUUCAAUAGCUCCGAGAACCAAACUUUUUUGACACUCUCAGAGAGAAAGAUUGGGUUGGGAACAAAUAGAAAAGAGAUGUUUAGUCUGCAAACAUUUAUCUAAACUCUAAACCCUAUUUAAUCGAUUUCCCAAUUUUAAUGUAAAAUUUGGGGUUUUGAUUCUUUGAUCUAAUAUAAAAUUUGCAGAUAUGAUAUGCUAGAGUUUAUAUAUGAUUACCACUACAUGAAAUUGUUGUGGCUUUGAAACCCCCAGGCCUGAGUUUUCAGGGAGGAUACCCGAGAAAGAGAAAGCUAUAUUAGGCUUAUCGUGGACAUGUUGAAAAUUGUUGAAGGGAUGAAGUCAUUCAGUCUCCGAUCAAUAUGCAAACACUUGAGAUGCUGGAGAAGGAGGAGAAGCUCCUUGGCAGCGUUGUAAUAAAGAAACACUACUGUUUCUAUGAGUCGCAUUUGUAAUUGAUUGGGGGUUCUUCAAAAUUGAAUCCUAAAGACGGUCUAGAGACGAAGGGGGAGACUCUUGGUGGAUUGGGUGUGCACUGAAAAUGGAGCAAGGCCAACCAGAGGUGAGCUAGGUUUUGAGUUCUUGGUGAAUAGGAGUGGGCAGCCUUAUCUGAUUCAGACAAAUACCUUAAUCAGGUUCUUUUCUUCCUUUUUCUUUUGAGUUCAUUAGCAUGCAUCUAUCUAUUUGAUUACCAAAAAAAUUGAGCAAAACGAUGAAGGAAUGGGAAAUUCAAUUUGAAUUCUUUUUCAUCAUAAUGUAUGAAAUUGUAGUCUUGGUGUUGUACAUUGAUGAACUGUUGCACAGAGAAUAAUGUCUAGAUAUAUAUGUGAAGAUAAAUUUGGUGAGAUUGUAGUCCAAUACACUCUCUAUUGGUA